AGCUCUGUGCAGUGUCAGUGUUGUAGCCAGUGAGGCUUAUCCGAGGCACAGUUAUUGCUAAUUGAGAACUAACACAAAAUAAAGCAUAGUAUCUGAAAUCAGCUUCUUAAAACAUAGCACAAAAUCUUUAUGGUU
rnacentral:snRNA from 1 species